rnacentral:lncRNA from 1 species
AUGGCUGCGAGGGCCUGCCGAGGGGCGGGCGCGAGUCGGAAAGACACCGACCAGGGAAUGGGCGACGAGGCUUGCCUUAAUUCGGAGGAAACCCAGGACUUGAGAGAGCCAUACAAUUUGAAAGACGAAGCACCGUGAAAUGCAGAAAGUUGUGGUUCGGAUAGCUCAGCUGAUUAAUUUCAUGUUGCCACAGUUUGUCAAACAUGGACAAGAUGGCUGGGGUCCUGUGGAGUUCUAGUAAUCUUCUUACGAUAAUAAAGCAACCUUAUGCCAUAUGAUAUGCUAAGGAUGGAGGAAGAUAGAGUCUAGGUGCCUGAUGACAACAUGGAGCUGUCAAGCCCUGCAUUGCCUCCCCCUGGACGUCUCAUUAUGGGAGAAAAUGAAGCAAUUUGUUUAAGCCACA